UACAGAGGGUGCAAGCGUUAAUCGGAAUUACUGGGCGUAAAGCGCGCGUAGGUGGUUCAGUAAGUUGGAUGUGAAAGCCCCGGGCUCAACCUGGGAACUGCAUCCAAAACUGCUGAGCUAGAGUACGGUAGAGGGUGGUGGAAUUUCCUGUGUAGCGGUGAAAUGCGUAGAUAUAGGAAGGAACACCAGUGGCGAAGGCGACCACCUGGACUGAUACUGACACUGAGGUGCGAAAGCGUGGGGAGCAAACAGG
rnacentral:rRNA from 1 species